GCAAUAUACUCAGAAUCUUCGUAUACUUUAAAACAAUAAGCUUUUUUGGUGAUAGCCAAAGCCCAAAGGACUGAAAGAAGAAAAAUCAUCUCUAUAUGGUGGGUGUUAUCCAGAAAAAAAAAUUAAAGUAAAGAAAACCAAAACAGUCGAGGUUUUUUGGUUUCUAGAUCUGUUUUGUCUCUCCCCGAUCUCGAUCAUCUGGCUCUUCGAUCUGCUGGAAGAGAUGAUCAGUCCUCAUAGAUCGAAUGACUUCAAGUUCGUUUCGGAUUGAAUUGUCCUUGGUCCUUACCGCUACAAGACAGUACUGAUUCGGAGCGACUAAGUUGCAUGCAAUCUCAGCUCUCUCUCGAUCCUUCUUCCUCGCACCAAGUUCAAUUUCUUUACUUAAUUUCAAUUUAUUUCUAUUUGAUUCCCGAAAAAGUGUUGGUGUGCUUAGUCAAUCUGUUUGGAUCUUGGAAAAAUUUAAUAAUAAAAUCAAGUUUUGAAACUUAGAUUUUUAUUAUGGAUGAUUGUGUAGGGAUUCAAUUUUUUGUUCCAAUAUAUGUCCUUAUUUGUUUGUCAUAUUUUGUUCUUUCUCAUAACACCAUCGUUUGGUUCUCUCUGCUGAAACUUUGUAUUUUGUGUUUUGGUGCUGGUGUUCGACUACAUUAAUCUUAUGUGAUUAUAGUUCCUCUGGGCUUUUGAUAAAUAUUUCUGGACACCACAUUUCUCUACCUCCAAUCUAUUUCUCACAUGUUUUGCCUCUAACUAACUUUGAUAUAUCUAGUGAAUUGAAUUUCACUGAUGCCUUUUUUCCUCUAAUUACAGUUUAUGUUCCACCAAUGGUUGUAUCUGGCUAUUCCAAUGCAUCUUGCCUAUCCUCACAUGUCUAAUGGCAACACCUAUUUACUGGUGCCUGUCCUUACUGGAAAUCCCAUGGGGUUUGGAAGGUUUACUAAUCCAAUUGGUUAUGCAGUGAAUGCCCCUGGUGUAGUUGGAGCUGCCAUUGAGCUAGUUUUUGACUAGAAAUCAAAUGCAGAAUCACUAGGUCUAAGGCAAUUUCUUGAUUGUGGUGAACUUGAAAUUUGAUGGAGAGCUUAUAUAUUUGACAACCCAUCGGUAUACUUGGGCUCAUGGAAUUUUUUGGUUAUGUGAACAGAAUUAUAUUUCACCUCAUGGAGUGAAGGGUGGAGGUUAGAGAAGUACAAAAAUUAAAAAGCCAGCAUUGUUUGUUCUUUAGGUUUCUCAUAAAUGGUUACCAUCAGAUUUUAUUGAAUUUGUAGAUCUGACCUUUGUAUCAGUCUUAAAUUUUAUAUUCUUUACACCAAUUAAAUAGAGAAUUACUGACUAACUAGAUCUUUCCAGCUUUUGAGGCCUAUUGUUAACUAACUAAUAUCACUGUAUCAGGGUGAUGAGGUGAAUAUAAUUGUCAAAGUCAAAGGCUAAACUGCUCCAUGGAAAGCUCUUAGAAGGGAAAUACAAUCACAAGGAUAUCAUCUUGUCCUUGAUUCGUCAUCACUCUAUUUGAACUUUUUAAGGGGUUAUAAAUCUGCAAGAGCUUAUGAACGAGGAGACAAAAAAAUGUUGUUCACUCAAUAAGGAGAAAGCUAUGGACUUUGUAAACUGGACUUGCAGUUCAGUGACGGAAGGAGAGAGAUGAGAAGCAAUUUCUGGCUUCAUAUGAAAGAAGACAGUACACUUUGGAGUCUUCUAGUCUAGGAGGAUUUGUAUUUAUAUAAUAUUCAAAAUAAUUAAGUUUUCCAUAAUAUAUUUCAUUUUAAAUUAUCGAGUCACCAAUAGAAUUGGUGUGGUGCUAAUUAUAGUGAUGUAUUCAUCCACAUAUUCCACCAAUCACAGCAUUGGUGUGUUGAAUCAUUGUCACCAAUGCAUGAACAGUAUCCAUCAGUUGAGGCACCAAAAAAAUGAUAGUGAGCCCAUGAGUAUAUGUCACGCCAUCUAUAGCAACCCCUACAAAAAUGGUGACUGGGCCCGUGCCUAUUGCUUUUACACACCAUUGAUCGGUGGUCUGAACCCCAAUUCACACCAUUAUUAAUGGUGUCUAAAGCCCAAGUUUGUGGUAGUGAUACAAGCUAUAAUUGAUGAGGUCAUUUGCCUAUAAAUGUGGUUUUGAAUAUGAUCUGGGGUGGUUCCAUAUCAUUUUAUAUUUCUAUAAGUCGUUUUAUUCCUAUAGAGCUUAUUCUCAUUGAUUAUAAUUUAGUAUACAAAGUCUGAAGCUGUAGCUACAUUUGGUCAAAGAAUAAAUACUCUCUUUUGGAAGCCCAUGCCAAGACUAAACUCAUAAUUAAGUUUCAAAUACUCUCUCUUUUUAUAUACAAUUUAGUACUUGGAUUGCUAUUUGAACAAGUUAUGUUCUGAGUGAAUUAUAUUGUAAUUAAAAGUAGGUCUGCAGUCAAUGUCCCAUGAAAAUAAUUCCGCAAGAAUUUGUAUCAUAUAUAUCAUCUUCAUAUUUUGGGCUAAUAUUGCUUUCUUGAUAAAACACAGAGAGUAAUUAGUAAAUAUUCCAUGUGUUAUUCAGUUGCUGCCUAGCUCCUCUUUCCCAUUUUGUUUCACAUUUUGAAACUUUAGCUUUGAUUCUAAACUGCUGCUUAUGCACUUCGUGUUCGUGAGGGGUUCUGUGUUGGCUCUCUCACGUACAACCUUUUGGGAAAUGGUUGGCAUCUGCAUCAUAGCAUCAGCCCCCUUCAAGUACUCAUCCAAUCUAAUCUACUUACCUAUACUAAAACUCAAACAGAAUAGAGAGACAAACGAAAUGAAUAGUGCCCUGCCUCACGUCUCUAUUACGGAAUUGCCAAGACACCUGUGCGCCUUCUGUAUGACACCGAGUUGCCUCCAGGUUUCGUGGCUGCGCGAUGGUGAGAUACAGGGAGAGAGAUAUAGAGCGAAGGGACUAGAGGAAGAAGAAGAGAUUCAGCAAUAUAUAGACAGCGAUGGUGAUUGCUCAUGUAUGCUUUUUUUUUUUUUUUGGUUCUCUAAUUGGGUAUUGAUUUGGGUUUGCGAUUUCCGUUAGUGAAGUAAUUCGAUGAACAGGUAGUUGUCGCCUUCAAUACCCAAAUUUCAUUAAAAAUCUUCCAUCAAAUUUCAUUGCUGUUUUUUAAAGUUUAAAACGUUGGAAUCUAUUUCUGAAAUGGGCAUAUGAACUGAGGGCAACUGUAUCUAAUAUUGAACUCAAAUGGAGUCGAAACUUCCCACAAGGUUUACCCAGAGUUUCAGUCUCUUCGUGUUGUCCACAGAACUGGGUUUCAUUUUCGAUCUCCCCGCCACUGGAUUAACGGAAGGACUUCCUACGUUUGGUCCAUGCAUUACGUUUUUCUAUGCAAUUUCUUUAAGUUGAGAACUUUAUAUGGGGGAAGAAGAAAUAAUUCUACGAAAUGGGAUAUCAUAAACUCCCAUUGUGACUGCCUUUGAAUCCUAAGAAUAGCAGAAAUUCAGGUACAAAAAUCAGAUUACUAUUGUGCUGGUGGAAUUGUUUACAUGUGGUUUAAUUGCUUCAUGGUUUUUCUUUGUUUCCAGUGGGACCGAAGUAUGUCUGUUGAUUUUCGAAACCACGACUUUGGUUUCUGUUUUGGUAGUAGUGCACUAGUGCUCGAGGCCCUCUAUGUUGGGUAAUAUAUGUAAAGAAUUAUCCCAUUGUAUUCAGCAAAUUGUUUCCUGUUAAGAAGAAUAAGUUCUUGGUUUGUUACAUAAUUGAACGCAUUUAAUAGUUGAUCCCCCAAAUACAUUUGAUGUUGUGAAUCCAUAUAACUUUUUUACUGGUUAGAGUUUUAGUUUGGGUGAGUGGUUUUUGUGAUUGGUGUGGUGUUUUUUUUGUUUUCGUUUUUGUAUUCUAAUUUUGAGAUUUUGCUUUUGUUUUUCUUGUUGAUUAUAAUUGCUUCUUCAGAAUCCCUAAAUUCUAACAAGUCUGAUUCUUUCUCUCUCUGAUUUGUUGAUACAAUAUAUAAACGACAACACUCAAUUCGUUGUGAAAAAACCCAAGCGCCAUUUCUCUCAAUCUUCUCUUCCUCAACUUUUGGACCCAGUUGAGGUAAAGCCCUGUUCUUUGUUUUCUGUAAAUUGAGACACCUAAGGCCUAAGAUUUAGACCCUUUUUCUAUAGUUUGUUGAAAGUUUGAAUCAAAAAUCAAAAUUGGAACUUUGAGAUUGGUGUCCUUGGUGGACCUGGAAUUGGCGAAAAAUGGUUUUGAUUAUGCCCGGAAAAGGAAGAAGUGGCUGUUUGUAAUGGCUGCCUUGGGCUUCUCUGGUUAUGAUGCUUAUAGGGUUUAUCACUUGCCUUCUGUAUGUCAAAAAAGAAAGAGGCUUUUGAAGCUUUUAGGAGCUUUAGUUUUUGUAGCUGAAGUAGUUUCAGACUUUGUUGAGUCGAUUGAAGUUGUGUCUAAAGAUUUGAAGGAGUUUCUGCAAUUUGAUUCUGAUGAAAUUCCGAAUAGCUUGAAGCAAGUUUCGAAAAUUGCUAGGUCGGAUGAGUUUUUGGGGUCUGUUGUUAAGGUCACACAAGCUGUAACAUUGGGAGUUUUAAGGGGUUAUGUCUAUAGUGGUGUUGAACUGUAGAGAAUUAAUUUCUUUAAAGAAUCCCUAAAGGAUGUUAGAAAUUAAUUUCAAUUUGGUAUCUUUUCCAGUUCAUGAUAUGGCAUAAAACAACAAAUCAAAGAUUAUAUGCAAAUAACAGAAACUAAUCAUUAUGACAACUUCAUUGUUACAUAAACUUUUUUGACCAUUGGAGAGACUUCUGUUUCGAUCUUGAAGAUUAAGGCAUAGUUUAGCCAAUAGAAACCGUUUCAAUGCAAAUUUCGGCUCUUUUUUCUUCAUUCUCAGUUUUUUCAAUUUCAUUAUGGCUACCAUGCAUUUGCUACUAGAAAAGAAAAAGAACUAAUAGAAGUCCUGCAUGAAUGUUUUUAUCUAAAGCUAUUCUUAGUUUGAAGUAUUCAUGGUUAUUUUUCAUAUCAUUUCAAUGAUUAGUCUGGAUGAUUUCUAUGUUUCUACAACUUCAUGCAUGCUUUCAUGGAUAAAUUACUCAUUAUUAUUCUUUACUGGAAACUUUAAUUUUGUUGCAUAGUUUGCUCGGGCUGAGAGAGUCUGCUGUUUUGUUGCAUUGUCGCAAAGAUGACCUGCAUCUGGUGGAGUCAGUUCUGGAAGCAGCAGCACAGGAAUAUGCUGGAAAAAGAAAUGUUCAUGCACCAGAGAUCAUAGUUGACCACAAUAUCUAUCUUCCACUUGCUCCCACCCAUCCUAAUCCCUAUGAUAAUUCUGAGUUUGUUUCUUGGUCCGCCUUAAUUUUGUACGAGUUGUGGGCCUUCUAGCAGCAAAUAUAGUAGAAUUAGGACUGUUAUGAGUUCAUUGAGUUGGCGAGUUGCAACUAGCACUUCUCUUUGUUUCCAAUUAUCUUGCAUUUAGGCCAGGAUUUAAUUUGGCUUGCUAAUAUCUAGCUUCUCAAACAAUUCCUGUUCUAAUUGAAAGAACAUAAAUGACAGAAGUCGCUGAUGAUUAUUUCUGAUUUUUCAGUUCUGGAGGUGUAGUCUUGGCUUCUUGAGAUGGAAAAAUUUUGUGUGAGAACACUCUCAAUGCACGGUGCCACGGUUGGAUGUUGUAUUCCGUAAAAUAACUUACUCAGUGGACAAGGAUAGCAAAGACAAUACAAAAUUGCAUCAAGUGCAUGCCAAGCAAGAUUGAAAACUGAAUGAUCGUCUUUACUCUUUAGAACAGCGUCAGUAGAAGAUAAACGAAGCCAGGCACAUAGUUUUGCUUCCUACAUGGGAAUGCUCUGUGGUACACAACAACCAUAUUUUGAUAAGACGAUGGCUUAUAAUCCCUUAUAUGAAGUGAUCUUCUGUAAUGAAAUGAAAUCCACCGUUUUUUGAUAAUAUAAAUGGUUUGUAUAAUGGCUUCAUACAAAA